GACGAACGCUGGCGGCGUGCCUAAUACAUGCAAGUCGAGCGGACUUUUUAAAAGCUUGCUUUUAAAAAGUUAGCGGCGGACGGGUGAGUAACACGUGGGCAACCUGCCUGUAAGACUGGGAUAACUCCGGGAAACCGGUGCUAAUACCAGAUAGUUUCUUUUCUCGCAUGAGAAAAGAAGGAAAGAUGGCUUCGGCUAUCACUUACAGAUGGACCCGCGGCGCAUUAGCUAGUUGGUGAGGUAAUGGCUCACCAAGGCAACGAUGCGUAGCCGACCUGAGAGGGUGAUCGGCCACACUGGGACUGAGACACGGCCCAGACUCCUACGGGAGGCAGCAGUAGGGAAUCUUCCGCAAUGGACGAAAGUCUGACGGAGCAACGCCGCGUGAGCGAUGAAGGUUUUCGGAUCGUAAAGCUCUGUUGUUAGGGAAGAACAAGUAUCGGAGUAACUGCCGGUACCUUGACGGUACCUAACCAGAAAGCCACGGCUAACUACGUGCCAGCCGCCGCCGUAAAAC
rnacentral:rRNA from 1 species